GACGAACCGUGCGAACGUUAUUCGGCAUCACUGGGCUUAAAGGGCGCGUAGGCGGAUUGCCAAGUCAGGGGUGAAAUCUCUCAGCUCAACUGGGAAAUUGCUUUUGAUACUGGCAGUCUCGAGUGAGGUAGGGGCAUGUGGAACUCUCGGUGGAGCGGUGAAAUGUGUUGAUAUCGGGAGGAACUCCGGUGGCGAAAGCGACGUGCUGGACCUCAACUGACGCUGAGGCGCGAAAGCUAGGGGAGCAAAUGGG
rnacentral:rRNA from 1 species